GAUCAUGGCUCAGGAUGAACGCUAGCGACAGGCUUAACACAUGCAAGUCGGAGGGGCAGCAUGAUUUGUAGCAAUACAGAUUGAUGGCGACCGGCGCACGGGUGAGUAACGCGUAUGCAACUUACCUAUCAGAGGGGGAUAGCCCGGCGAAAGUCGGAUUAAUACCCCAUAAAACAGGGUCCCGCAUGGGAAUAUUUGUUUAAAGAAUUCAUCGCUGAUAGAUAGGCAUGCG
rnacentral:rRNA from 1 species